rnacentral:lncRNA from 14 species
AUGGCUGUCUUCAAACCCCUAGGAGAAAGCACCAGAUGAAGGGGCUCCUUUUCUUUUUGCCUUCAGGUCCAUUUUCAAGCUUCCCUCUGUGACCCCAAAGACCAGGAAUGUGCUGUGCGCUACCCAAAUAAGAUCCUGCUUACAGGCCCAAAUCAUGCAGGGGACCAGGACACCAGGUCAUGGAAGUGUCUGCACAGGGUGCACUCCAUGAGCCUCCUUACUGCAAAGCGGAACCUGACCUGGCUUUUGAUUUCUGAUGCUGCUCUGCAGGAGGCUGAAAUGUGGGAGAAGAUGUAGAAAAGAAUCACUACAAGAAAGCCAAGCAUGGGAGAGAACGAGAGCACACAUGCCCAGUCUGGUUAUCUAAAUGAAACAGAGAUUAAGAGGUAUAUGAGUGUUUUCUUAAAGCCAGGAAAGCUA